rnacentral:rRNA from 1 species
AGUGAACGCUGGCGGUAGGCCUAACACAUGCAAGUCGAACGGCAGCACAGUAAGAGCUUGCUCUUACGGGUGGCGAGUGGCGGACGGGUGAGGAAUACAUCGGAAUCUACUUUUUCGUGGGGGAUAACGUAGGGAAACUUACGCUAAUACCGCAUACGACCUACGGGUGAAAGCAGGGGAUCUUCGGACCUUGCGCGAUUGAAUGAGCCGAUGUCGGAUUAGCUAGUUGGCGGGGUAAAGGCCCACCAAGGCGACGAUCCGUAGCUGGUCUGAGAGGAUGAUCAGCCACACUGGAACUGAGACACGGUCCAGACUCCUACGGGAGGCAGCAGUGGGGAAUAUUGGACAAUGGGCGCAAGCCUGAUCCAGCCAUACCGCGUGGGUGAAGAAGGCCUUCGGGUUGUAAAGCCCUUUUGUUGGGAAAGAAAAGCAGCAGGUUAAGACCCCGCUGUUCGGACGGUACCCAAAGAAUAAGCACCGGCUAACUUCGG